rnacentral:rRNA from 1 species
CGGGUGAGGAUCACGUGAGAAACCUGCCCCAGACUUUGGGAUAACAGUUGGAAACGACUGCUAAUACCGAAUGACGUCGGAGAACCGCAUGGUUCACUGACGAAAGGAAAUCCGGUUUGGGAGGGUCUCGCGGCCUAUCAGCUUGUUGGUGGGGUAAUGGCUUACCAAGGCUAUGACGGGUAGCUGGUCUGAGAGGAUGAUCAGCCACACUGGGACUGAGACACGGCCCAGACUCC